rnacentral:tRNA from 1 species
GCGAGAGUGGCGAAAUUGGCAGACGCGCUGGAUUUAGGAUCCAGUGGGGCAACCCGUGCAGGUUCGAGUCCUGUCUCUCGCA